GCACUGGUGGUUUAGUGGUAUAAUUCUCACCUUCCAAGUGGGAGACUCGGGUUCUAUUCCUGACCAACGCA
rnacentral:tRNA from 1 species